rnacentral:lncRNA from 1 species
ACUGCAAGGCUUCCUUAAUUGGUCCAAUCAUCUAUUUAUUAGAGUGAGUGCAAUACAGUUCCUGCCCGCAUGGGGGGAAACAGGCUGGGAGGAGGGCCAGGGGCAAGUAAGUGCUAGGAGGGGAAAUGGGAGGGGGCUGGGCGGGCACUGUGGGGAGGGGCAGGGGUUCCCAAGGCAACGUCGAAAUCUCCAAAUACAGUGGGCCUGACGGGGAUGACAGAGAGGCUGAAGAGACAGAGCCGUCCUGCACAGUCCAGGCACCACCCUGCCCUGCCACUGCCUGGCGGGCAUCUUGAGCUCCAGACCCUUAGCCUCUCCGGGCCCCCCAGUUUUUUCCGGGAAGAAGAGCUUCAAGCUUUUAGACAUCUGCCACCUGAAUCUGGCAGAGGCUCAAGCUUUUAAAGCACAGUGCCGGGUUCAGCAGUUCAGCACUUUAGUUAUGCCUGUAAGGAAGAUGGAAAAUUGAAGUACACUCUGAUGUCUCCCGAAGUCCCCUAUGGGUAAAGAAAAACAAAUAUGAUUUCUCCAAGUCAUCUUGGUGUCUCUGUCCUCUUGCCUUUCUCUGGGAAAUAAAUUUAAGUGAACGGUCGAGCAUCGCGCCUGCCAAAAAUGGGGGCGUCUCCAUCAGAGCUCGAUUCAAAUGCCAACUACCCCGGGCUCUGUUCUGUUAAAGGUCACCUGUCAUUGUCCACCCGAGGCAUGGAGAUUGCUUUGGAGCUCUGAUUUCCAUGGCGGGGAAGGCAUGUUUAUCUUCUCCAAUGUCUUAUUCACCGCUGGCUUAGGCCGAACUGUUACCGGUUGAGUACAACCCACUGGGCCCCUAAUAAGAGCUUGGAAUCCACAGGAGGGAAAGAAAUUGAGAUGCGCUUUGCCAAUGAAGAGUUGUAAACCUUAAAGGUAGGCAAAGAGAAGUCUUUUCAGGAGGGGAAAUUUCCUGCCUGUGAAGGUUCUCAGACACUACAGCAGGAAAUGGAGAACAGUCAUCCCUUUGUCUCCAAAGGACAUGUUUACCCAGAAUGCUGUGCUGAGAGCAGGGGAUGGCAAAGGGACCCUGGAAACCUCUCCCUGACCUCCAAGAGUCAGCAGGAAAGUUGAACCAGCAAUGCAGGCUGGACUGGGGGGCUCUUAGAAAGCUCUUAGGAAAAAAUGUUAAGUGGUAAAUAAACUGAGUUUCAGUAUACUGC